rnacentral:lncRNA from 1 species
UGCAGCCAAGAUACUAAAGCACAAGCACUACCAUAAACCAAAUGUAAUGGAAGAGAUUGGUACCAUUCUCAAAGGCUGAAAGGAUGAAGGGUGUUGGCUCACCUGAUAUCUACAUUUAACCAGGAAUCUAAGCCACUCCUAUCUCUGCUGGGCAAAUUAGAGUUGUUGUUGCUGGACCAGAAUUGCUGCUAAGAAUGAAAGUUCACUAUUUGUCUUCUUGAAGCCACCUCUUCAAGAUUCAAAGUCCCUUGUCAAUCUCUGCCUCUAGAAACGGACUAAACCUUCUCUGGUCCUCCUGGAAUUAUCAGCCUGUGACUUCCAGCCCGUAUGUCCUCUGCCCUGAGUGGUACUUUAACCAGAAUCCUGAAAAAUUCACUAAUGAAAGCAAAUAAAAGGGCGUGGGUAUUUUAUUUCAAUCCUUUUGACCCUGUAAAAAGGAUGCAGACUUUAAUCACGUGGAUUUCAUCCUAGCGGAGCUGUUGUGUAUUGGACUUGUUAAAGUCAAUGAAACUU